CAGCACGCAUUCCUCAGGAACAUUAGAAUACUUCACAGAGCAUCCACUAUCUGAGAGCGAUGUCGGGCCUAAUCGGAGGGGAAAUUCCACAGCGGGCUGCUGCUCUGAGCUGCUCUGUAAUUGGAUGCAGCUUGAAUCUGUCUCUGCCUCCUGCGCGCUUUUGGCCGCUGGAACCCGCGUGGUUCUCAUCUGAAGCUGGUGAAUUAUGAACAGAGCGCGUUUUAAUGGAGCCCGCAGUGCCAUUACUGAUAAAUAAAUAAGAGAGGAAGCACACGUCAGAACGCUGGGGGCGUGGCCUGUCCGUGAACCUCACUCUGCCAUUGGCCGCCUAACAAGGAAGCGAUUCCGAUCAAAGUGUAUCUCUGCCCUCAUCAACCCAACAUAUGCCCCCCACCCCCUCCUAGUGAAGUUCCCACAGCAAUAUCAGCGCGCUGAAGGUGUGUGAACAUUAACUCUUUAAUGGACACAACCUCCAAACAAGUCCAACCAGCGGUGCGCUCCAGCUGCUGCAAAAUAUCUCCACUAUCGUUGCGCGCUCGGACGGAUGCGCAAAGAGGAGCGGCAGCAGCUCGAGCUUCACACCCUGGAUGUCACCUCGGUGUCAGCUACCAGGCGCCAGGUGGACACGUGAUCCGAGCAGAUCCUGAUGGAGUGAAGACGCGCAGGAAACGCGCCCCCGGCUCUCCGUGAGCGCACGUGUUCACCGUCCGCAGCUCUCCAACUGAAAGGAGCCCUCCCCUCCUCAGGUACGGACCAGCCUGGUGUCAGCAGCCGGACCAGGGAUGCUUCUGCAGGUCUGGUUCUGGGCUUCAGUCUGCUCACCAUCACUGCUGCGACGAAACUCAUCCAACUAGUCCUCCUUUUCUUCUCUCUCUGGAUCCAUCCCCUCAUCUGCAUACCUCACAUACUGCUGGAUUUCACAGGAUGAAGGCAGUCGGUUCAAGGAAGAUGUCCGUCGGUUAGGUCCAAAAACAGCCGCUGAGGAGGUGGAGGGCGGCCUGGUGGAGGGAGAGGAACCGGCAGAUAGAAGCUACAAGAUGAGUGUCCGGGUCUCGGCAGAGGGCUGCACGGCACUCGGCGCCUCGAUGUCGACCAGAGCCGAUCGGAAGCAGCGCAGUUCUCACGCCGAGCAGGGCGGCUCUGGAGCAGCACAAGGAAGGAGUUCAACCUGUACCCGAGCCGACAGCGCCGCCUGGAGAUCAACAAGAGCCUCGAUCUGACCGACAUCCAGGUGAUGACCCAGCUGCAGAACCUGAGGAUGAGGCAAGAAGUGCCGCGGCGGAAUCAUCUCCAGCAUCUUCUCCUUCCAGAUCCUUCCACACGGAGCAGAAAGACGCAGAGAGGAUGAGGAGGAGAGGAGCUGUAGCUGAAGAUGAAGGUGCGCCGUCUGCUUUGUGUUGCUGCAAUCUCGCCAAGCUUUUACGCAUUGGACACACUAACAGUUUAUGCAUCAGGAAGGAGCUGCAGCUGCUUCAGUGAGACGGCCAGAGACAAGGCGAGAAAUGAACAAAUCCACUUUAUGUAUGUGACCUUGUGUUCAUUCUUCUGGACAGAGUGGAGUGAGGACAGUUUAACUGGUCAUCACUGUGAGAAUAAUGGUGGAAAUGAAACGGGAAGGUGCUCUUGCUGAUGCCUGAAUACUGGAGGAUUUUUUUGGGUGCAAAUCCGAAAUUCUGAAAAUGAAAAAUUACGCAUCUAAGCCGAACUCUGGCUGAGGACGGCGGUGUGUUGGCCUCCUGGAAGAUCCAAGGUCGAGCACAUGAAGUGGAGAAGGAGACGGCUUCAGGGGAAAGCAGCUUGGACUCAGUCGUCUGUCCUCAUCUGAUGGUGAGUGUGUGCUUUAUUUUUCUGUGCGUAAAGGCAGGACGUUGUUCAGUAAAAGGCCGCGUAUGGUUUACAGAGUGA